AGGUGUCCGGGAAAAUGGUUCUUCUUGUCUCUGCUAUCCGGAUGUUUAAUUUGUGUCUUGGAUCUCUUCUUAUGGUUGUUGCUGGUUUCAUCUUCUUAAAGGACAGAGAAAUCUCCAAUGAGCGAUUGGAAGUCAAGGUUUUGACUGUUGACCUUGUCCUCAGCAUUGAAUAAUUUACAACCACGUUUUAGGUUUAAGAGUGGACUAGUGGAAUGUUUCGAGAAUUCGGACUGGGAUGAGUUUGUGGAUGUAAGUCAAGGUUUUUAUGUUGCAAUAAUGUGGAUCAAGCAAUUGGACAAGGAAUCUUGAUGAACAACGAGUAACGCUAUUAAGGAUCUAUAUCUUCUUCUCCCCGCUCCAGACAAAGAGCCGUUUAUAGUGCAAAUGCAAAUAGGGCAUGGGUGCCUGGCAAAAUCUUCCAAUAAUUAUGCAUUGACAUAACUUACUGCUGCUGGAUCUAUAAAGAGAUAUAUCACUUAAAGAUGCAACUUUCUAGAGAUCAAUUUGUUCGUCCACUUGGGGGAGCCAAUCAUUUUCUUAUUACCUCUUUUAGAGAUGUUCAGAUCUUCGAGUUUCAGAAGCUGCAAAGGCAAAUCAUCAGUCCAGCAGAACCACUGAAAGUGGGGUGAUGAAAUCUCUCUGUCUCUCUUCUCAUGUGUUGACCUUGUUCUCAGCAUUGAAUCAUUUACGACGCUAUCUAGAUAGCCAAGAGAUUUCAACCACGUUAGAGGUUCAAGAGUGGACUAGUGGAAUGUUUCGAGAAUUCUGACUGGGAUGAAUUGGUGGAUGCAAGUCAAGCGUUGGACAAGGAAUCUUGAUGAACAACGAGACAAAGAGCCUUUUAUACUGCAAAUGCAAAUAUGGCAUGGGUGCUUGGCAAAAGACAGUCAAUCUUCCAAUAAUUAUGCGUCGACAUAACUUACUGCUGCUGGAUCUAUAAAGGUGACAUCAACAAGAUUUAACCAAAUCUCUCAGAAAG